rnacentral:rRNA from 1 species
UACGUAGGGGGCGAGCGUUGUCCGGAUUUAUUGGGCGUAAAGAGCUCGUAGGCGGUUUGGCAAGUCGGGUGUGAAAACUCCGGGCUCAACUCGGAGACGCCACUCGAUACUGCUAUGACUCGAGUCCGGUAGGGGAGUGCGGAAUUCCUGGUGUAGCGGUGAAAUGCGCAGAUAUCAGGAGGAACACCGGUGGCGAAGGCGGCACUCUGGGCUGGUACUGACGCUGAGGAGCGAAAGCGUGGGGAGCGAACAGG